GAAAUACAAUAUAUGAGUAAUAUUUUGUGCGGGGUUUAUUGAGAACGAGAAAUACAAUAUAUGAGUAAUAUUUUGUGCGCGGUUUAGUUGAGAACGUGAGGAAUACAAUAUAUGAGUAAUAUUUUGUGCGGGGUUUAUUGAGAACGAGAAAUACAAUAUAUGAGUAAUAUUUUGUGCGGGGUUUAUUGAGAACGAGAAAUACAAUAUAUGAGUAAUAUUUUGUGCGGGGUUUAGUUGAGAACGUGAGAAAUACAAUAUAUGAGUAAUAUUUUGUGCGGGGUUUAUUGAGAACGAGAAAUACAAUAUAAUGAGUAAUAUUUUGUGCGGGGUUUAUUGAGAACGAGAAAUACAAUAUAUGAGUAAUAUUUUGUGCGCGGUUUAGUUGAGAACGUGAGGUAUACAAUAUAUGAGUAAUAUUUUGUGCGGUGUUUAUUGAGAACGAGAAAUACAAUAUAUGAGUAAUAUUUUGUGCGGGGUUUAUUGAGAACGAGAAAUUCAAUAUAUGAGUAUAAUAUUUUGUGCGGGGUUUAUUGAGAACGAGAACUACAAUAUAUGAGUAAUAUUUUGUGCGGGGUUUAUUGAGAACGAGAAAUACAAUAUAUGAGUAAUAUUUUGUGCGCGGUUUAGUUGAGAACGUGAGGAAUACAAUAUAUGAGUAAUAUUUUGUGCGGUGUUUAUUGAGAACGAGAAAUACAAUAUAUGAGUAAUAUUUUGUGCGGGGUUUAUUGAGAACGAGAAAUUCAAUAUAUGAGUAUAAUAUUUUGUGCGGGGUUUAUUGAGAACGAGAACUAC